GGCAGAAUGAGACCCAGAUGGCAAUGGAAAGCAAUUCCAGAGCAGCAACCCGGUGCUGGCACCACACCACCUGAUUGCAGUGGUUGUGUCAGAAAGGUACUUCUGCAGAAUGAGACCCAGGUGGCCAUGGAAAGCAGUUCCUCAGCAGGAACCCGGUCCCUAGCUCCUUCCUGCUACAGGCCUUACCAUGGAUCUACACGCACAGGGAUGCUCUCCAUAGACACUGGAAUCUCCACACUAUUCACCUUAUGA
rnacentral:lncRNA from 1 species